UGAUAUUUUUUCUUUUAAACUCACAUGUAAUGGCAGCUUGGCUCUGUGAAAACGCGAGUACACAGUACACAUGUGAACUGGAGCAAUGUGGAAUCCCAACAAAUGCAACUGUUACAGAUUCUUUCCAGAUUGGAAGCUGAACUAGGAAUUGCUUGUUAAAGCCUUGAAACCUCUUAUGUUAUACAACCUGAUGGUGACAUGUUUGUAUUUUUAAUGAGUAUUACUCUACCUACCGUGUGACAGUUAUACAAUCGUGUAAAUUUAAUACCAUUUGUGAAGAAUUAUAUGUUUGAAGACUGAUCUAAUAAAACGCAUAGUACGUAUUAUUAU